rnacentral:rRNA from 1 species
AUUGAACGCUGGCGGCAGGCCUAACACAUGCAAGUCGAACGAGUGGCGGACGGGUGAGUAAUGUCUGGGAAACUGCCUGCUGGUGGGGGGUAACUACUGGAAACGGUAGCUAAUACCGCAUACCAUCAGAUGUGCCCAGAGGGGAUUAGCUAGUUGGGGGGGUAACGGCUCACCAAGGCGACGAUCCCUAGCUGGUCUGAGAGGAUGACCAGCCAACCUGGAACUGAGACACGGUCCAGAGGCCUACGGGAGGCAGCAGUGGGGAAUAUGGCACAAUGGGCGCAAGCCUGAUGCAGCCAUGCCGCGUGUAUGAAGAAGGCCUUCGGGUUGUAAAGUACUUUCAGCGGGGAGGCGUUACCCGCAGAAGAAGCACCGGCUAACUCCGUGCCAGCCGCCGCGGUAAUAC